UACGUAGGGUGCGAGCGUUGCACGGAUUUAUUGGGCGUAAAGGGCGCGAGUAGGCGGCUCGGCACGUCCGUUGUGAAAUCGCCCGGCUCAACUGGGCGGGUCGGCGGAUACGGCCGAGCUGGAGCAAGCUAGGGGGUAAUGGAAUUCCCGGUGUAGUGGUGGAAUGCGUAGAUAUCGGGAGGAACACCAGUGGCGAAGGCGGUUACCGUGGAGCUUUGCUGACGCUGAUGCGCGAAAGCGUGGGGAGCGAUCGG
rnacentral:rRNA from 1 species